CCUACGGGAGGCAGCAGUGGGGAAUAUUGUACAAUGGCCGAGACCCUGAUGCAGCGACGCCGCGUGAGUGAAGAAGGAUUUCGGUAUGUAAAGCUCUAUCUGCCGGGGAGCAAAUGCCGGUACCUGUUUAAGAAGCCCCGGCUAUCUACGUGAAAGCAGCCGCGGUAAUGCGUAGGGGGCAGGCGUUAUCCGGAUUUACUGGGUGUAAAGGGAGGGUAGACGGUGAUGCAAGUUAGAAGUGAAAGCCCGGGGCUCAACUCCGGGACUGCUGUUGAAACUGUGUGACUGGAGUGCAGGAGAGGUAAGCGGAAUUCCUGGUGUAGCGGUGAAAUGCGUAGAUAUCAGGAGGAACACCAGUGGCGAAGGCGGCUUACUGGACUGUAACUGACGUUGAGGCUCGAAAGCGUGGGGAGCAAACAGGAUUAGAUACCCUAGUAGUC
rnacentral:rRNA from 1 species